UACGGGGGGGGUAAGCGUUGUUCGGAAUUACUGGGCGUAAAGGGCUCGUAGGCGGCCAACUAAGUCAUACGUGAAAUCCCUCAGCUUAACUGGGGAACUGCGUGUGAUACUGGAUGGCUUGGAUUGGGAGAGGGAUGCGGAAUUCCAGGUGUAGCGGUGAAAUGCGUAGAUAUCUGGAGGAACACCGGUGGCGAAGGCGGCAUCCUGGACCAAUAUUGACGCUGAGGAGCGAAAGCCAGGGGAGCAAACGGG
rnacentral:rRNA from 1 species